rnacentral:rRNA from 1 species
UACGUAGGAGACGAGCGUUGUCUGGAAUCACUGGGCGUAAAGCGCGUGUAGGCGGGUCCGCAAGUCUGCUGUGAAAGCCCCUGGCUUAACCGGGGGUCGUCGGUGGAAACUGCGAACCUGGAGGACGGUAGAGGUAGGUAGAAUUCCCGGUGUAGUGGUGAAAUGCGUAGAGAUCGGGAGGAAUACCUGUGGCGAAGGCGGCCUACUGGGCCGGACCUGACGCUGAGACGCGAAGGCGUGGGGAGCGAACGGG